rnacentral:lncRNA from 1 species
AGACAAUGUUGUACUUCCACCUCCAGACAAACUCUGAAAUAUUAUCUUCUGGCUUUCAUUGUGUGAAAAUCCCCCAACUAAAUCUACCCAUAUUCUAAAAGAUUAUAUCAUUGAGCUAUAUGGGCUGAGAGCACCAAGAAGACUUCAUGGUUGACCAUGGACUACUCCUAAUAGAUUUGUAGGAUAUCUAUACAUGGAGCUGCUUUGGAAUUGCAAGCAUAUACUAAACAGAACAUAGAGAUUUGGCAUGGUCUCGAAAACUUCCCUCCAGCCAGCUUGCCACUCCAGAUGGCAUUGCCUUUCUGAACAAGCUGAAUCCUCUGGUCAUGAAGAAAUACGUUGCCAUUCUUAGAAGUUACAGAGGAAAGAUAGUUUGGAGAAUCAGACAAAUCUCACCUUGAAUCAUGUCCUGCAACUCACUAAUUGUAUAACUACAUGAGCUAUUUAUGCUGUUGAGCUCAGGUCUUUCAUCUCUGAAAGGAGGGUGAAAAAAUGAACCUCAAUUUUGAAUGAUGUGAAACUGUAUGAAGUUUCAACCAAUGUUGAACUAAAAAAUUGCAAGUCACCUACUAAGUUCUGGGCAUUAAAUGUGAUAAAUUAGAGAGAGAGAGAAUCUAGACUCUGGAACACAUAGCAAGUAUUAAUUCCUUCCCUCUCCAUUCCUCACCUUUCUCCCUAAGUCCUUAUCCCCAAGCAGUAAUAUAUCACUCAAUAUCAACAAGCCACAUUGCUUUGUAUGUUAAAAUGGGCAUGCGGAAGAGAACAAGGCACAACAGUACUGAGGAGGAAAAGUCUCCCUGAUGGAAAACUGGACAUCUGAGUCCAAAG